AUGAAAUCGAAAUGGAGGCUAAACACUGAGGAAAUGAGUUUUGCUCCCUUUGCUGGAAGAAGGCCUGGCUGCCACAGUUGUUGGACUCUGCCUCUGUGCUGUUUUUUUCAGACUGGAAAGGCGGGAGCAGGCAGGUGUGUGACUGGUGUCUUCAUUGCAGUGGGUCAACACUGCCAUCGUGCGGAAAAGCCUUCAGACAUACCUUGCACAUUCAGAAGCCGCUUCCCCAGGGCUGCUUGCAGCCUUUUUGGAGCAAUCGCCAUCAGGAAUCGCUUCUUGCGCCAUGGCUAAGAAUCAUGGGAAGGAGGCUCAGUGGUGCUGUGAGUUUUUUGAAACUCUGUCCGCACGAUGGCGGUAGAGCUCCAGGAAUGAUCUUGUCAGCGCUCCUCUCCCGCCCUUCCCGUCUGAAAAAACGCCACCAGAGACAAAGAACCAAAGCACCACAGAAGAUGACUCCCUGAGUUUUUGAAAGUUGUUUUGGUGUGUUGUAUUUUCUACAUUCAGCCCCAAGUAUAUCUAAAUUUAGUGGACUAUUUCUCUUCUGUCAUGGAGGAUAGUUUCCAUUUUAUUCCUAAUUACUUUGUAUAGCUGCCUAGUGUAAUUUAAAUUUUUAGUAUUCUUUUAUUUAUUAGUUUUUCAUGGUUUUUCGAGACAGGGUUUCUCUGUGUAGUUUUUGAGCCUAUCCUGCCACUAGCUCUGGAGACUAGGCUGUCCUCGAACUCACAGAGAUCCGCCUGCUUCUGCCUACCAAGUGCUGGAAUUAAAGGCGUGUGCCACCACUGCCCAGCUGAAAUAGUCUUAACUGUAGAAUAGAUUUUGAAGAAAGAAUGCAAAAAUUAUUUCUUCAAAAUGUUUUUCUGUCCUCAUGGUACUAUGCAAUGUGUAUUUAGUUAAUGGAACACAAGAUAUCUAUGUUUUAAGUAUAUAAGGAUAUGUAAGUUUAUUGUUUAUUUCUUGGUUUACAUUUCUGUAAUAAGUGCCAUGAUAAUUGUAAAAUUAGUCAGGAAUAUUAAUUCAGAAAAAUUAAAUGUGCUUAUUUCUACAUCCUAUACAUAAUGUAUAUAAAAUGUAUUCUGAUAAUCAUGUUAACUGUUAAUAUCAAAUCUACUGAGCUUUAGUAGUCAGUGACUCCAAUGUCAUGUACUAUUUGUGGGGGUUUGUUGUUUUUGUUUUGUUCUGUUUUUAGAAAAGUUUUCUGAUUGAUUUUAUAUUUUUUCUCAGAUUUUUUAUUUGAAUUAGAAACAAGAUUGUUUUACAUGAAAAUCCCAGUUCCCUUAUCCCUCCAGUCCUC
rnacentral:lncRNA from 1 species